rnacentral:tRNA from 1 species
GGGUCUGUAGCUUAAUUGGUAAAGCAUCGCUCUGGCAGAGCGAAAGAUGUCAGUUCAAGUCUGACCAGUAUCCA